UCUCGAUUGGUCUAGUGGCUAGGAUACCUGCUUGUCAAUUCACCUCUUCUUCACAUUGCAAAAUCUGAGGAGUUCUUGAAGGAAGCAAAUUCGCAGGUGGCCGGGGUUCGAUUCCCCGAUCGAGAG